AAGUCGUAACAAAGGUUUCCGUAGGUGAACCUGCGGAAGGAUCAAUUACCGAGUAAAGGGUCUUCUAGGCCCGACCUCCCACCCUUUGUUGUCGAACAAAUUUCUGUUGCUUUGGCGGGACCGCUCGACCCUCGGGUCGACUGCCGGGUCUCGUACCGGGUAAGUGCCCGCCAAAGUCCAAUCAUAAAACACCUUGUAAAACCUUUUUGUCUGAGUAAAUUGAUAAAUAAAUCAAAA
rnacentral:misc_RNA from 1 species